GGGUGAUCUUGCAAGCUAGCGCGCUGAUACGUCCCUCUGUCGGUGCUGUUUUAUCGAACAAUUCUGGACAAGUUUUAUAAGCGUUGGUUCCAGUUACUUCUCAACUAACACCUUCUCACACUUAUUCAAUACUACCAAAAAGGUCGAGUCUUUUUAUCGUGUCUUUGGAGUGAACACAGCACACAAUUUUUUUCACUUUUAUUUUUCCAGACGGGUCACCUGUCCAUAUUACUAAUCGUUUUCAUGUUGCUUGACUUUAGUGAUAAGCCAGGAACUAGUAAUCCAACGCGGUUAAACCAUUAAUUAUAUAUUUUUAUUAAUAUAAUAAUAUAAUAUAACAGUUCAAAAAAAGAAAAAUAAAUUAACCGAUACGUAAGAAUUCAUUAAUCUUCAAAUUGAUCAUAGCUUGACGUUUUAAACGAAGAGUUUAAUUGUCCUAACAAAUGAAAAUUUUUUUAAUGCCCUCGAUAUUUAUUCGAAAUUCGUACAUUUCCAUUAAAUAAAAGAAACAAAUUUAAGUGAUCUAUUAGGGGUGGAAUAAAAUCUGAGUAAAAAAAAUAAAAGAAAAAUACAAAAAAAAA
rnacentral:lncRNA from 1 species